UCUCAUCCCACACGCCUCAGAGGCGUCCUCUUCUCCGGGGGCGGCCAUUGGCGGCCUGUCCCCCUAUCAGCAGCGGCCUCUGGCCCCCAGGCGGAUGUGUACCGCCACUGGCCUCUCUCAGUCUCACAGCCUCUUCCUGCCCGGGUGACAUCACCCGCACUGCCCUCAAGCGUGAAGCCGGUUUUUCCUCCCUAGGCUUGUACAAUCCUGCAAAAUGAUCCACAAGGCAGAUCCUUACAUCUGCAUAGACUCAUUCCAUCCACUUGAAACAGCUUGCAAUCUUCAGCCAUUGGAGUAAUGAGAAUCUGAGUUUCCUUAAAACAAAUUAAAAUUACUAGCCCUCAUGGAUUCAGAGAAAAGCUGGAAAAUGUAACCUGAGUGUCACCUAAAGGUUAAAAAACCAGAAGACAGGAC